rnacentral:rRNA from 1 species
CCUACGGGUGGCAGCAGUGGGGAAUAUUGCACAAUGGGGGAAACCCUGAUGCAGCGAUGCCGCGUGAGUGAAGAAGUCCUUCGUUAUGUAAAGUUCUAUCAGCAGGGAAGAAAAUGACGGUACCUGAGUCCUAAGCCCCGGCUAACUCCGUGCCAGCAGCCGCGGUAAUACGUAGGGGGCAAGCGUUAUCCGGAUUUACUGGGUGUAACGGGAGCGUAGACGGCAGUGCGAGUCUGGAGUGAAAGGCGGGGGCUCAACCCCCGGACUGCUCUGGAAACUGUACGGCUGGAGUGCAGGAGAGGUGAGUAGAAUUCCUAGUGUAGCGGUGAAAUGCGUAGAGAUUAGGAGGAACACCAGUGGCGAAGGCGGCUUACUGGACUGAAACUGACGUUGAGGCGCGAAAGCGUGGGGAGCAAACAGGAUUAGAUACCCGGGUAGUC